rnacentral:rRNA from 1 species
UACGUAGGGCGCAAGCGUUUCCGGAAUUAUUGGGCGUAAAGAGCUCGUAGGUGGUUUGUUACGUCUGCUGUGAAAACCUAGGGCUUAACCCUGGGCCUGCAGUGGAUACGGGCAGACUAGAGGUAGGUAGGGGAGAAUGGAAUUCCCGGUGUAGCGGUGAAAUGCGCAGAUAUCGGGAGGAACACCGGUGGCGAAGGCGGUUCUCUGGGCCUUACCUGACACUGAGGAGCGAAAGCGUGGGGAGCGAACAGG